UGUGGACAUUUCUGCCAUCUUACAUGCUGU
rnacentral:piRNA from 1 species